GAUCCUGGCUCAGGAUGAACGCUAGCUACAGGCUUAACACAUGCAAGUCGAGGGGCAGCAUGAAUCAAGCUUGCUUGAUUCGAUGGCGACCGGCGCACGGGUGCGUAACACGUAUCCAAUCUACCCAUGGCUCAGGGAUAGCCUUUCGAAAGAAAGAUUAAUACCUGAUGGUCUCGUUAUAAGACAUCUUGUGGCGAGUAAAGAUUUAUCGGCGAUGGAUGAGGAUGCGUCCGAUUAGCUGGUUGGCGGGGUAACGGCCCACCAAGGCGACGAUCGGUAGGGGUUCUGAGAGGAAGGUCCCCCACAUUGGAACUGAGACACGGUCCAAACUCCUACGGGAGGCAGCAGUGAGGAAUAUUGGUCAAUGGUCGAAGGACUGAACCAGCCAAGUAGCGUGAGGGAAGACUGCCCUACGGGUUGUAAACCUCUUUUGUAUGGGAAUAAAGUGUCCUACGUGUAGGAUUUUGUAUGUACCUUACGAAUAAGCAUCGGCUAAUUCCGUGCC
rnacentral:rRNA from 1 species